AAUGAACGCUGGCGGCAUGCUUUACACAUGCAAGUCGAACGGUAACAGGCCGCAAGGUGCUGACGAGUGGCGAACGGGUGAGUAAUGCAUCGGAACGUGCCCAGUCGUGGGGGAUAACGCAGCGAAAGCUGCGCUAAUACCGCAUACGAUCUGUGGAUGAAAGCGGGGGACCGUAAGGCCUCGCGCGAUUGGAGCGGCCGAUGUCAGAUUAGGUAGUUGGUGGGGUAAAGGCUCACCAAGCCAACGAUCUGUAGCUGGUCUGAGAGGACGACCAGCCACACGGGGACUGAGACACGGCCCAGACUCCUACGGGAGGCAGCAGUGGGGAAUUUUGGACAAUGGGCGCAAGCCUGAUCCAGCAAUGCCGCGUGCAGGAAGAAGGCCUUCGGGUUGUAAACUGCUUUUGUACGGAACGAAAAGGCUCUGGUUAAUACCUGGGGCUCAUGACGGUACCGUAAGAAUAAGCACCGGCUAACUACGUGCCAGCCGCCGCGGUAACAC
rnacentral:rRNA from 1 species